rnacentral:rRNA from 1 species
GACGAACGCUGGCGGCGUGCCUAAUACAUGCAAGUCGAGCGGACUUUCAAGAAGCUUGCUUUUUGAAAGUUAGCGGCGGACGGGUGAGUAACACGUGGGCAACCUGCCUGCAAGACGGGGAUAACUCCGGGAAACCGGGGCUAAUACCGGAUAAUAUCUUCCUUCGCAUGAAGGAAGGUUGAAAGGCGGCGCAAGCUGCCGCUUGCAGAUGGGCCCGCGGCGCAUUAGCUAGUUGGUGAGGUAACGGCUCACCAAGGAGACGAUGCGUAGCCGCCCUGGGAGGGGGAUCGGCCACACUGGGACUGAGACACGGCCCAGACCCCUACGGGAGGCAGCAGUAGGGAAUCUUCCGCAAAGGACGAAAGUCUGACGGAGCAACGCCGCGUGAGCGAAGAAGGGCUUCGGAUCGUAAAGCUCUGUUGUCAGGGAAGAACAAGUACCGUUCGAACAGGGCGGUACCUUGACGGUACCUGACCAGAAAGCCACGGCUAACUACGUG